UGAGGAGCUUUGCUCCAGUCAAAGAGUUUAAACUCAAUGUCCUCCUUGGUGCUGAGAGAGCAGGGUAACACAACAUCACGGCCAUCUUCAAUCAACAGUGG